GACGAACGCUGGCGGCGUGCCUAAUACAUGCAAGUAGAACGCACAGUUUAUACCGUAGCUUGCUACACCAUAGACUGUGAGUUGCGAACGGGUGAGUAACGCGUAGGUAACCUGCCUGGUAGCGGGGGAUAACUAUUGGAAACGAUAGCUAAUACCGCAUAAUAUUGAUUAUUGCAUGAUAAUUGAUUGAAAGAUGCUAUUGCAUCACUACCAGAUGGACCUGCGUUGUAUUAGCUAGUAGGUGAGGUAACGGCUCACCUAGGCGACGAUACAUAGCCGACCUGAGAGGGUGAUCGGCCACACUGGGACUGAGACACGGCCCAGACUCCUACGGGAGGCAGCAGUAGGGAAUCUUCGGCAAUGGACGAAAGGCUGACCGAGCAACGCCGCGUGAGUGAAGAAGGUUUUCGGAUCGUAAAGCUCUGUUGUAAGAGAAGAACGGGUGUGAGAGUGGAAAGUUCACACUGUGACGGUAUCUUACCAGAAAGGGACGGCUAACUACGUG
rnacentral:rRNA from 1 species